AUGUAUAAUAUGAUCGCCAUCUUGUUUUGACUUUUGGCGUGAGCCUACCCGUUCCGUUGUAAGGUUAAAUAGAAUUAGUAAAAAUACAAUAAAGUGAAAUAAAUACGGAACACACCAUAGGUCAGACGUCAGAGACUGAAUUACAAAACUGGUGCUGUUACAUUUACGCCAACAAGUAUUUUAACAAAGAUUUACGCUGUUAAGCAUGGUCAAAGGAAGAUUCUGGAAUUCUCUUCGUUAUUCUUUCAGAAGGUUCCGCGUCCCUCCAAUGCCUCCGUGAAUAAUAUCUCAUCAGGACUACAAUUUUGAAAUCAAUCUUUACUCAUAAAAGUAUGCCAAGAAAUGAAAUUGAAGAUAACGGUUUCUGCAUCGCAAAGCAAAAACAAAGGAGGCCGGAAGAUAGUAAAAUCCUUUUUACAACAAAAUGAUAACUACAACAGCUACAAAGUGCAUGCUUAGAAAAAAAAAUAUUUAUUAUGGUUCUGGAAAAAAAUCUUGAUAAAUAUCUGCGUAAAGUGAAGAAUAGACAAUAAACAAGGGAAUGUGAAUUGAAACAUUCAUUAAAUUGAAUUUUUCAGUUCACACUGAUGCAAAACCUAUAAAAUAUUUUUAACUUUUAUUAUCAGGUCAUUGCUGCCUGUACUCUGUUGAUAGAUAUAAAUGUGCCUCAGUUGCGCCUUGGUUUCUUCAGCCAUAUUUAUUAUGGUUACUUGCUUCUGGAAAAGUCUUGAUAAAUAUCUCACAAAGUGUAGAAUAGACAAUAAAUAAGGGUUUUAAAUCAAAAUGAAUUGAAACAUUCUUUAAAUUAAUUUUUUUAGUUCACACUGAUACACAAAACCUAUCAAUCUUAUCAUCUUUUUUGACUUUUUAUCAAGGUAUUGUUGCCUCCACUCAGUUCACCGAUAUUGCUUCAAGCAAUGGAUCAAAAAUGCACCUCAGUUGCGCCUUGGUUUCUUCAGCCAUAUUUAUUAUGGAUACUUGCUUCUGGAAAAAAAUCUAGAUAAAUAUCUGCGUAAGGUGAAGAAUAGACAGUAAACAAGGGAAUCAAAGUGAAUUGAAACAUUCAUUAAAUUGAAUUUUUCAGUUCACACUGAUACAAAACCUGUAAAAUAUUUUUAACUUUUUUUAUCAGGCCAUUGCUGCCUCCACUCAGUUGAGCAAUAGUGCUUCAAGCAAUGGGUUUAAAAUGCGCCUCAGUUGCGCCUUGGUUUCUUCAGCCAUAUUUAUUAUGGUUAUUUGCUUCUGGAAAAAAAUCUUGAUAAAUAUCUGCAUAAAGUGAAGAAUAGACAAAAACCAAGGGAUUAAAAUCAAAGCGAAUUGAAACAUUCAUUAAAUUGAAUUUUUCAGUUCACAUUGAUAUUCACUCAAAUCUUAUAAUCUUUUUUGAACUUCUUUAUCAAGGUAUGGUUGUCUCCACUCAGUUGACCGAUAUUGCUUUAAGUAAUGGGUUAAAAAUGUGUCUCAGCUGCGCCUUGGUUUCUUCAGCCAUAUUUAUUAUGGUUACUUGCUUCUGGAAAAGUAUUGAUAAAUAUCUCACAAAGUGUAGAAUAGACAAUAAAUAAGGGUUUUAAAUCAAAAUGAAUUGAAACAUUCUUUAAAUUGAAUUUUUCAGUUCACACUGAUACACAAAACCUAUCAAAUCUUAUCAUCUUUUUUGACUUUUUAUCAAGGUAUUGUUGCCUCUACUCAGUUCACUGAUAUUGGUUCAAGUGAUGGGUCAAAAAUGCGCCUCAGUUGCGCCUUAGUUUCUUCAGCCAUAUUUAUUAUGGUUACUUGUUCUGGAAAAAAGUCUUGAUAAAUAUCUGCAUAAAUCGAAGAAUAGACAAAAAGCAAGGGAUUAAAAUCAAAGCGAAUUGAAACAUUCAUUAAAUUGAAUUUUUCAGUUCACAUUGAUAUUCACUCAAAUCUUAUAAUCUUUUUUGAACUUCUUUAUCAAGGUAUUGAUGCCUCCACUCAGUUCACCAAUAUUGCUUCAAGGAAUGGGUCAAAAAUGCGCCUCAGUUGCGUUUUGGUUUCUUCAGCCAUAUUAUGGUUAUUUGCUUCUGGAAAAGUCUUGAUAAAUAUAUCACUAAGUGAAGAAAAGACAAUAAAUAAGGGUUUUGAAUCAAAAUGAAUUGAAACAUUCUUUAAAUUGAAUUUUUCAGUUCACACUGAUCCACAAAACCUAUCAAAUCUUAUCAUCUUUUUUGACUUUUUAUCAAGGUAUUGUUGCCUCCACUCAGUUCACCGAUAUUGCUUCAAGUAAUGGGUUAAAAAUGCGUCUCAGCUGCGCCUUGGUUUCUUCAGCCAUAUUUAUUAUGGUUACUUGCUUCUGCAAAGACAUCUUGAAAAAUAUCUACAGUCCUACAUAAAGUUUAUUAAUAUUGACACUGUUUUAAUUUACAAUAAUGCAUCAGUGUUAAUGUUAAUUGUAAAAACAAUUCUUUAGUGUUAACAAAAUAGCUGUGUGCUGUCAGGGCUAAAAGAUUGAUCAGUCUUUUGUAUGUCUUUUCAAAAUAAAACGUUUAUUUUGUAUUCUCAUUAAAUUAAACUUUAAAGUGAAGAAUAAACACGAACAAGGGAUGAAAAUCCAAGUGAAUUGAAACAUCCAUUCUCAGAAUACAGGAAACAUCAGAAGGUGUGAUCACGCAUGGGAAUGAAGCCGUUGAAAUUACUCUUUUCUUGGUGUACUUUCACGAACAAGAGAUUUGUAACUCUGUGAGGGCUGUGUUGUGUGACCUGCUACAGUUACAGUUACAAUGCGUGCUUUAUAAUGAACGUGGCUUCUGAUGUUUUCUGUAUUCUGAGUAUCCAUUAAAUUAAAAUUAAUUUUUCAGUUUACUAUAAAAUUGAAAUUGAACUCUAUGAAAACUGGUUGUUGUGAUAAAAAUUUGAAAUUGUUUAGUAUUGACAAAAUAGCUGUGUGUUGCCAUCAAUUUUUCUUUCAAGGUAUUUCUGCCUCUACUUGUUUGAACAUCAUUGACGGCCUCCGUGGCGCAGUGGUAUGCGCGGUGGAUUUACAAAACGGAGGUCCUGGGUUAGAUCCCCGGCUGGGCAGAUUGAGAUUUUCUUAAUUUGUCCAGGUCUGGCUGGUGGGAGGCUUCGGCCAUGGCUAGUUACCACCCUACCGGCAAAGACGUACCGCCAAGCGAUUUAGCGUUCCGGUACGAUGUCGUGUAGAAAUCGAAAGGGGUGUGGAUUUUCAUCCUCCUCCUAACAAGUUAGCCCGCUUCCAUCAUAGACUGCAUCAUCACUUACCAUCAGGUGAGAUUGUAGUCAAAGGCUAACUUGUAAAGAAUUAAAAAAAAAAAAGGACAACAGUGUUUCAUGCAAUGGGAUGUCAAAAUUGAAAAUGAGCCUUUGUUGCGCCUUGGUUUCUUUAGCCAUAUCAUGGUUACACCUGUGUCUGGAAAAAAACGAAAUAUCUGCAGUCCUGUAAUGCAGGUUCUAUGUAAUGUUCAUUAAUAUUGUAUUUUUCAUUUUACAAUAUACAAAUAUGUCAGUUCAUUUUAGCAAAAUAGUUGCAUGCUGUCACGGUAAAUAAGAUGGUUGUCAUUCAGUAUGGUACACCUUGUCUCUUUCUUUAUGUCAAGAAACUAAGGAUUCGAAUAUAAGUGAAUUGAAACAUUCUUAAAAUUGAAUUUUUCAGUUCACACUGAUACACAAAACCUAUCAAAUCUUAUCAUCUUUUUUGACUUUUUUAUUGUAUUGUUGCCUCCACUCAGUUCACAGAUAUUGCUUCAAGCAAUGGGUCAAAAAUGCGCCUCAGUUACCCCUUGGUUUCUUCUGCCAUAUUUAUUAUGGUUACUUGCUUCUGAAAAAAAAGUUGUGAUAAAUAUCUGCAUAAAGUGAAGAAUAGACAAUAAAUAAGGGUUUUGAAUCAAAAUGAAUUGAAACAUUCAUUAAAUUGAAUUUUUCAGUUCACAUUGAUAUUCACUAUCAAAUCUUAUAAUCUUUUUUGAACUUUUUUAUCAAGGCAUUGCUGCCUCCAUUCUGUUGAGCGAUAGUGCUUCAAGUAAUGGGUUAAAAAUGCGCCUCAGUUGCGACUUGGUUUCUUCAGCCAUAUUUAUAUUAUGGUAACUUGCUACUGGAAAAAAUCUUGAUAUAUAUCUGCAGUCCUACAUAAAGUUUAUUAAUAUUAAUACUGUUUUUAAGUUACAAUAUACACAUGAGUGUUAAUGUUAAUUGUAAAAAUAAUUAUUUGGUAUUAACAAAAAAGCUGUGUGCUGUCAGGACAAAGAGGAUGUUUGGUCUUUUGUAUGUCUAUUAAUAUAGUCUAUAGAAAAAACGUUUAUUAUUUUUCAUUAUUUCUUAUUGUUCAUUAAAUUAAACUUGAAAGUUAAAUUGAAACAUUCAUUGAAUUGAUUUUUUUCAGUUUACACAAAUUGAAAUUGUUUCGUAUUGACAAAGUAGCUGUGUGCUGCCAUCAAUUUAUCUUUCAAGGUAUUUGUGCCUUUUAAUACAUCAGUAUUAAAGUAAAAGACAAUAAAUAAGGGAUUUUAAUAAAAGUCAUUUGAAAUAUUUAUUAAAUUGAUUUUUCCAGUUCACACUGAUAGAGAACCUAUCAAAUCCUUUCAUCAACUUUUUUAUCAAGGCAUUGCUGCCUCCACUCUGUUAAGUGAUAGUGCUUCAAGUAAUGGGUUAAAAAUGCGCCUCAGUUGCGAAUUGGUUUCUUCAACCAUAUUUGUUAUGGUUACUUGCGUUUGGAAAAUAAUUCAUUGUCCACCAGUGCUCAUUAUGGAUGUUGAACGUACCCGCACGUGUAAAUGUGGACUCGUCUGUCCACAGUAUGUUUUCUUCGGGAUGUUCGAUGAGCCAUCUGCACAGAGACAUACGUGGUUGUGGAUCAGUAUAAAGACUGAGUUCGUCGAUAGUGGAAAGGGUGCAUUCCUUCCUUGUGCAACAAUUUCCAUACACAGAACUUACUAACUCCGAAAUCUCUCGCUGCUACUCUAGUACUUCGUCGCGUAUGUCUUUCAAAAUAUUCGAGUAUUUCCUCUUCUAUCACAGGCGAGUAACGAGGGUGACCGCGAGCUUGGGCAUGUCCAGGUGUUCUGAAUUGACCGUGGUCAUCAGUCUUUGGGUCGCUGCUAAAAUAGCUUGGUUGCUUGGCACUUGAGGAUUGAUUAUACCUCGACUACGUAACAUCUGAAUGUUACUUGGCGUUCCAUAUAAUCUUUUUGCUUCACUUAAAUUAUCACCCGCUAUUUCUAUCACCCAUAAUGAUAUUAUGUUAACAAUCUUAUCAGUCAUGUCUACAGACCCUUUCGAUUUAUUAUAAUCCAAAAUAACUUUUGGUUUCCGAAUCUGUUUGCCUUUUUUUACCACCACAGCAAUUUUGUCGGAAUGCUUUGUCGACCGCAUAAGCACGUCCCUCUUAUCUUUCCAUUUAAGCACUGUUACUCCAUCUUCAUUCUCCAUAGCCAUUGUUUCACCUUUUUGCAGUUUCAAAUCAACAACAGCCUUAGGCAAUCCUCUUCUGUUUUUUCGCAAUGUGCCAAUUAAAUGGGUUUGCUUCAUCAAUAACGGAUAAGCCAGUUACAAGCUAGUGUAUCAAUUAUCAGUUGCUAGCGUGUGACCUUUGUCAAAUAUAUUUUCACAUAGCGCCAUCACCACAUUUGUUGGCGUAGUAUUUAUUGCAUCAAUGUUUUUCCCACUAUACAAAUUAAGAAUGAGUAAGAAUUAUUACUUUUAAAAUGUUAUUGUGCUCCUCUUGUAACUUGGAGAAUGUUUCGGUCGAGGAACAAGCUCUUUUUUCAGGAUGGGGGUAGAUGACAAUUUUAAGGAUGGAUGGCCUGAGGAUGGAAUGGAUUCGGAGGAUGCCAUGACUGGGGAUGAGGGAAUAGGUGGAAUAUUCUCUAUUAUCUCCCUUGGAACUUCAAAGAUUUUCCGACAUGAAAGUAGAAAAAAUAGCUUAAACAUACAUUUUAGCCAAAAGACAAAAACAUGCCACAUUAAAUGGAAUUAAACAAUACACACAUAGGCCUAUUUCCGUAUCUUCAGGCCCAAUGCCUGUGGAGGCCUCUUUUCCUAUAAUGGACAGCACCUUAUUGGUAAUGUCCGAUACUACUGGGACAGUAAUACAGUUCCCAGUAGUGUGAGACGAGGCUGGAUUUUCAGAACGUGAGUUUUUCUUAAUGUCCUUCCAUGUCUGCAAAUAACAUGAUAAAGAUGACAGGAUUUGUUUUUGUUGAUGGGACAUGCUGUUUAAAAUGCUGCAGCUAUUGCAAAAAUGUAUCACCAUUCAAGCAAUGCUAUAUAAUGGUGGAGCUCCGAUCAUCAAACGCCCGUUUUUGUCAAUUUUUUUUUUGCGGAAAAAUAUAAUGGCCAGUGACAAUUCAUCGCAAAAGUUGUUGUUUUUACACAUAUAUUACUGUUCCUUAAUAUGUAAGAAACCACAUCUUGUAUGUCGGAAAACAUUUCUAUUGAAUAGCUAGGUAUGAAAGCAAUUUUCCUUUCAUUCUGUCUUUUAAAUUUGUAAAUUCACAAUUUUUGCCAUUUUUUUCUUACAUUUUUUUUAAACCACAAUUCAAAUGUAGAUUUGAUUGAAAGAAUCCGAGAUGUGGUCAUUGUAAUCAAUUUCGUUAGGAUCACAAUUUGAGAGUAACUUUUUUCUUGUGCUGUUGCAGAAUGUUUCUUGCAAAAUCCCCUUCAUAAUUCGAUCCCUUAGAGUUGGAACUGGGAAAAAGGGCGUCAUCGCCACAUUGACCGUAGUGAUAGUUGGAUGAAUGUCCAGCAGAAUGAUCUGCCGAUUGAAAGAAUCCGAGAUGUGGUCAUUGUAAUCAAUUUAGGAUCACAAUUUGAGAGUAACUUUUUUCUUGUGCUGUUGCAGAAUGUUUCUUGCAGAAUCCUCUUCACACGAUCCUUUACAGUUGGAACUGGGAACAACAAUGACGUCAUCGCCACAUUGACCAUAGUGAUAGUCGGAUAAAUGUCCGCCAGAAUGAUCUGCCGAUUGAAAGAAUCCGAGAUGUGGUCAUUGUAAUCAAUUUCGUUAGGAUCACAAUUUGAGAGUGACUUUUUUCUUGUGCUGUUGCAGAAUGUUUCUUGCAGAAUCCUCUUCACAAUUUGAUCCUUUAGAGUAGCUACUUAUAUUAUUAUCUAACAAUGCAGCUGAAGCAACUUCAGAAUUAGUACAUGUGGGAUUUAUAUUUCGCACACCGUGGCACUGAAUAGCGCCAAAGAAAUUCUCUAAAUUCGGAUCUAAAAUUAAAUGCGUCAUCCAAAAGGUCUUCAAAUUGUAAUCCUUUUGUAAUUUCUUUUAAUAAAC